UACGUAGGGGGCAAGCGUUGUCCGGAUUUACUGGGCGUAAAGAGCGCGCAGGCGGUCGUUCAAGUCGGAUGUGAAAGCCCCCGGCUCAACUGGGGAGGGUCAUUCGAUACUGAUCGACUCGAAGGCAGGAGAGGGAAGCGGAAUUCCCGGUGUAGUGGUGAAAUGCGUAGAUAUCUGAAGGAACAUCAGUGGCGAAAGCGACUUCCUGGACGAAUACUGACGCUCAUGUGCGAAAGCGUGGGGAGCAAACAGG
rnacentral:rRNA from 1 species